rnacentral:rRNA from 1 species
UACGGAGGGGGCUAGCGUUGUUCGGAAUGACUGGGCGUAAAGCGCGCGUAGGCGGAUCGGAAAGUUGGGGGUGAAAUCCCGGGGCUCAACCUCGGAAUGGCCUUCAAAACUCCUGGUCUUGAGUUCGAGAGAGGUGAGUGGAAUUCCGAGUGUAGAGGUGAAAUUCGUAGAUAUUCGGAGGAACACCAGUGGCGAAGGCGGCUCACUGGCUCGACACUGACGCUGAGGUGCGAAAGCGUGGGGAGCAAACAGG